GAAGAGCUUGCUCUUCAAAUCGAGUGGCGAACGGGUGAGUAACGCGUGAGGAACCUGCCUCAAAGAGGGGGACAACAGUUGGAAACGACUGCUAAUACCGCAUAAGCCCACGGCUCGGCAUCGAGCAGGGGGAAAAGGAGCAAUCCGCUUUGAGAUGGCCUCGCGUCCGAUUAGCUAGUUGGUGAGGUAACGGCCCACCAAGGCGACGAUCGGUAGCCGGACUGAGAGGUUGAACGGCCACAUUGGGACUGAGACACGGCCCAGACUCCUACGGGAGGCAGCAGUGGGGAAUAUUGCACAAUGGGGGAAACCCUGAUGCAGCGACGCCGCGUGGAGGAAGAAGGUCUUCGGAUUGUAAACUCCUGUUGUUGAGGAAGAUAAUGACGGUACUCAACAAGGAAGUGACGGCUAACUACGUGCCAGCAGCCGCGGUAAAACGUAGGUCACAAGCGCUGUCCGGAAUUACUGGGUGUAAAGGGAGCGCAGGCGGGAGAACAAGUUGGAAGUGAAAUCCAUGGGCUUAACCCAUGAACUGCUUUCAAAACUGUUUUUCUUGAGUAGUGCAGAGGUAGGCGGAAUUCCCGGUGUAGCGGUGGAAUGCGUAGAUAUCGGGAGGAACACCAGUGGCGAAGGCGGCCUACUGGGCACCAACUGACGCUGAGGCUCGAAAGUGUGGGUAGCAAACAGGAUUAGAUACCCUGGUAGUCCACACCGUAAACGAUGAUUACUAGGUGUUGGAGGAUUGACCCCUUC
rnacentral:rRNA from 1 species